CAGUAGCCACGGUAAUACGGAGGGUGCAAGCGUUAAUCGGAAUUACUGGGCGUGAAGCGCACGCAGGCGGUUUGUUAAGUCAGAUGCGAAAUCCCCGAGCUUAACUUGGGAACUGCAUUUGAAACUGGCAAGCUAGAGUCUUGUAGAGGGGGGUAGAAUUCCAGGUGUAGCGGUGAAAUGCGUAGAGAUCUGGGGGAAUACCGGUGGCGAAGGCGGCCCCCUGGACAAAGACUGACGCUCAGGUGCGAAAGCGUGGGGAGCAAACAGGAUUAGAUACCCGCGUAGUCCCUGUCUCUUAUAC
rnacentral:rRNA from 1 species